GGCAGGCCUCCUUGAGCUGUGGUGGGCUCCACCCAGUUGGAGCUUCCUAAGCAAGCCUGGGCAAUGGCGGGCGCCCCUCCCCCAGCCUCGCUGCCGCCUUGCAGUUUGAUCUCAGACUGCUGUGCUAUCAAUCAGUGAGACUCCGUGGGCGUAGGACCCUCCAAGCCAGGUGCCGGAUAUAAUCUCGUGGUGCGCCGUUUUUUAAGCCCGUCGGAAAAGCGCAGUAUUCGGGUGGAAGUGGCCCGAUUUUCCAGGUGCGUCCGUCACCCCUUUCUUUGACUCGGAAAGGGAACUCCCUGACCCCUUGCGCUUCCCAAGUGAGGCAAUGCGUCACCCUGCUUCGGCUCGCGCACGGUGCGUGCACCCACUGACCUGCGACCACUGUCUGGCACUCCCUAGUGAGAUGAACCCUGUACCUCAGAUGGAAAUGCAGAAAUCACCCGUCUUCUGCGUCGCUCAUGCUGGGAGCUGUAGACUGGAGCUGUUCCUAUUCGGCCAUCUUGGCUCUUCCCCCGUUUUACAAUUUAAAGGUAAAGACCUUCACAAUCGGGAACCCGUAGAUUGGAUCUUCUGAAAACAUCAGAGAAAGACUAUCUUUGCCAUCCACACUACAGUAAAACUUUGGAGCCUUGAACCUUGGAUUUAUAAUCUCACAACUGAGAAGGGUCCCUCCAUACUCCUGGAACUGUACACCCAUUGGAACUCUUAAGGAUGAUAUACAUGGCCAGGUGAAGACAGUAGAGAGAAAACAGAACUGAAAUUAACAGAUAUACCCUGGGUCCUACAAGAGUUACCCUGAAGAGGACUUGGAAUAAUGCUAUGCACACACUGAAAGAUUCAAAAUAAAUCUUCAUGGCUUAAAAAGGACUUGAAAAUUAUUUUCAAGUUCACUUCUCUUUCAGGGAAUUGGAGAUUGCUACACCAGGGAUAUUUCUCUUAUUUGGCAUUAUGGAAAAUUUUGGAGGCUGAGAAGUAAGAGACCAGACCAUCAAAUCUUAUUUCAUUGAUUUCUAAGACUAAUAGUGAUGUCUUAAAAGAAUAUGUUAUGGAAUAAAUAUGACUAAAAGUAAAAGGCAGAAUAAAAUUAUAUGCUGAUGAAUCCAGCAAAACUGGUUGAAAAAUUCUUAGUGUUUGGUUUGUACACAGACAAGCAACAUACUUAUUUGCAUUGUUCCUUCAAAUUGAUUACAUUGAAG
rnacentral:lncRNA from 10 species